rnacentral:lncRNA from 1 species
ACUGUUGUUGUGUUAAGGAUAAUAAAUUAAGGAAAAACUUCAAAUUCCACCCGUGGUUUCACCCCUAUAAUUUAAAGUGUAUCAAUUUAGUAUUCUGUAAUUUUAUUUUUAUCUUUUUAUUAUUGAUUCUAUUAAUUUUUUUCGUUAAAUCAGUGACAAAGUUAAAACUAAAAAGCACUAACGUGAAUAUUCAAUAAACCUAGAUGGGAUAUCUAAAAUUUUUUAUAUAUAAUUUAACGAAAUAUUAACGGAGAAGCUGACGAAAAGAUAAAAAUAAAAUUAUAGAAUACUAACUUGAUACAUUUUAAAUCACGCGGUACUAAAGUGAGAAAGUGCGAAACUAUGGGGAUGGUUUUUAAAGUUUACCCAUAAAUUAACUUGGAUAAAAGCUCGAGGAAUGUUUACGUAGUAUGUGUAUAUAUAUAUAGGGAUACUAUAUUUUUAUGAGCAUAAAACUUUUUGUACUUAUAAGUUUUCGGCAUUUAGAUGAAGAAAUGUGCGGUUGGAAUAAUCGUGGUCCCAGAUUAAGAUGAUAAUAGUCUCCUAUAAUUAAGUGGAUUGUUGGUUGAAUAGUACGAUUCGAAAAUAAUCAAAAAAAUAAAUUUAAUGACCGAAAAUUUAUAAACAUAAAAAGAUCUACACUCAUAAAUUUAUGAAAAAAUUUCAUCACUACCCUUUCGAAUAAGUCUAAUAUCAUGAAUGCCCCUAUAAAAAUUGAAAUAUCAUAAAUAAUCUUUUAAAAGAGAGUAACUUUCAAAAAUAACCUUUACACUAAUUUAUUAUAAAUUUUGAAUAAACAACAAACAAAAUUUCAACUUUGCCCUUAUUGUCAUUACCAUCUUAAAAUAUUUAAUUGAUUAUAAAAUCAUUUAUAAUUUUAUAAACACUCUUUUAAGUUUAUAAAUAAUCUACAUUUAGAAAUAAGUUUUUUGUCAGUUAAAAAAAUAUAUAUAUAUAAUCCUGACAAGUUAAGCUAAAAAAUAAAAAAAAUCAAAAAUUUUGAAAAAAAUUUAGCAAAAAAUUGUUUAAAGUAUCAAUUGACUCAUUAAAAUUAGGUUAAACAAUUUAUUCAAAGUAUAACUUAAAUAUAUAUGCAUGAUGUGAAUUAAGUUAUUUGAACUAGCAUGAAUUUCUGUGCUUUGGCAUCUCAAAUUUUAAAAUAAAUGAUAUAAAGUAUUUUAUUUUAGUAUCUUAUUUUAUAAACCACACAGCAGUAAAAUGAUAUAUUUUACUGUUUAUUUUAAUAUUUUAAAAUAAAUAUAUCACGCUAAAAUAUUUUUGUAAAAAAUUUAGAAGUUAAGGACAAAAUGGACAUUUCGACCAUAUUUAUGAUAAUCUAAAUACUUUAUCAUUCUAUAAAGAGAUGAAUAGUAAGGAUAAGGGUAUAUUUAAAAAAUAAUAAAUAUUUGUAGGAAUAACUAUGAUAUAAUCAAAUUUAUAAAAAUAUCUAUAAUGUUUUUGAAGUUUAAAGGGGCACAAAUAAAAUUGACCCUAAAUUUAUAGUA